rnacentral:lncRNA from 1 species
GGCUAGUUGAGCUCACCUUUUUCCUUGUUGUUCCAUUUUUCUUCUCAGGAGACGAGAAUAUAGCGGGAACUAGUCGGGGUGUGGAGUAAUGGUUCAAGACAGUUGUUUUAGUAGUCCUCACUAUUUUGUAAAAUAGUGUAUCAAUAAUUUUAAUGAGGACUCCUUUUGAGUUUGUAUACUCUCUAUUAGACAGUAUUUGUAUUUAAACUCACAGUUUUUAUGUUGUAUUAAUAAAGUUGUAGUUGUAUCUGUACCAUGUAUUUUGACGACUCAAAAUGGGUGUUGUAUACCUAUUUUGGAGGCGUCACAUUAGUCAUAAUAUUUCUUACUAGGCUAGUUGAGCUCACCCUUUUGCUCUCAUUGUUCUCUUUAGGAAAUGAAAACGUAGCCGGGACUAGUUGGGGAACAGAGUGACAGUCCGAGAUGGUGGCUAUAGUAGUCCUCACUAUUUUAUGAAAUAGUGUGAUAAUAAAUGAGGACUUCAUUUGAG